rnacentral:rRNA from 1 species
AUUGAACGCUGGCGGCAGGCUUAACACAUGCAAGUCGAGCGGGGUGAUGGUGCUUGCACUAUCACUUAGCGGCGGACGGGUGAGUAAUGCUUAGGAAUCUGCCUAUUAGUGGGGGACAACAUCUCGAAAGGGAUGCUAAUACCGCAUACGUCCUACGGGAGAAAGCAGGGGAUCACUUGUGACCUUGCGCUAAUAGAUGAGCCUAAGUCGGAUUAGCUAGUUGGUGGGGUAAAGGCCUACCAAGGCGACGAUCUGUAGCGGGUCUGGGAGGAUGAUCCGCCACACUGGGACUGAGACACGGCCCAGACUCCUACGGGAGGCAGCAGUGGGGAAUAUUGGACAAUGGGGGGAACCCUGAUCCAGCCAUGCCGCGUGUGUGAAGAAGGCCUAUGGUUGUAAAGCACUUUAAGCGAGGAGGAGGCUCUUUUGGUUAAUACCCAAGAUGAGUGGACGUUACUCGCAGAAUAAGCACCGGCUAACUCUGUGCCAGCCGCCGCAGUAAGAC